rnacentral:tRNA from 1 species
UGUGGCUCAGUGGUAGAGUGCUUGCCUCACACGUGUGAGGCCCUGGGUUCAAUCCUCAGCA